rnacentral:rRNA from 1 species
UACGUAGGGGGCAAGCGUUGUCCGGAAUCAUUGGGCGUAAAGAGCUCGUAGGUGGUCCGGUAAGUCGGCUGUGAAAGUCCAGGGCUCAACCCUGGGAUGCCGGUCGAUACUGCCGGACUAGAGUUCGGAAGAGGCGAGUGGAAUUCCCGGUGUAGCGGUGAAAUGCGCAGAUAUCGGGAGGAACACCAAUGGCGAAGGCAGCUCGCUGGGACGUUACUGACGCUGAGACGCGAAAGCGUGGGGAGCAAACAGG